rnacentral:rRNA from 1 species
CACGUAGGGGGCGAGCGUUGUUCGGAAUUAUUGGGCGUAAAGGGCGCGCAGGCGGCCUUGCAAGUCUGGUGUCAAAUGGUCGGGCUCAACCCGAUCCUGCGCUGGAAACUGCGAGGCUUGAGUUCAGUAGGGGAUGCUGGAAUUCCAGGUGUAGGGGUGAAAUCUGUAGAUAUCUGGAAGAACACCAAUGGCGAAGGCAAGCAUCUGGGCAUGAACUGACGCUGAGGCGCGAAGGUGCGGGGAGCAAACGGGUUUAGAUAUCCUGGUAGUCCUCACAGUAAACGAUGUGCACCAGGUGGCGGCCAGCAGUGGUCGGUACCGUAGCAAACGCAUUAAGUGCACCGCCGGGGGAGUAUGCUCGCAAGGGUGAA